CCUACGGGAGGCAGCAGUGGGGAAUAUUGGACAAUGGGCGAAAGCCUGAUCCAGCAAUGCCGCGUGAGUGAUGAAGGCCUUAGGGUCGUAAAGCUCUUUUACCCGGGAUGAUAAUGACAGUACCGGGAGAAUAAGCCCCGGCUAACUCCGUGCCAGCAGCCGCGGUAAUACGGAGGGGGCUAGCGUUGUUCGGAAUUACUGGGCGUAAAGCGUGCGUAGGCGGUUAUUCAAGUCAGAGGUGAAAGCCCGGGGCUCAACCCCGGAACGGCCUUUGAAACUAGGUAGCUAGAAUCUUGGAGAGGUCAGUGGAAUUCCGAGUGUAGAGGUGAAAUUCGUAGAUAUUCGGAAGAACACCAGUGGCGAAGGCGACUGACUGGACAAGUAUUGACGCUGAGGCACGAAAGCGUGGGGAGCAAACAGGAUUAGAUACCCUGGUAGUCCACGCCGUAAACGAUGAUAACUAGCUGUUCGGGUACUUGGUAUCUGAGUGGCGCAGCUAACGCAUUAAGUUAUCCGCCUGGGGAGUACGGUGCAAGNUUAAAACUUAANAAGAUGAG
rnacentral:rRNA from 1 species